AUCUCGGUAUCUACGUUCAAG
rnacentral:piRNA from 1 species